UACAGAGGGUGCAAGCGUUGUCCGGAAUUACUGGGCGUAAAGCGCGCGUAGGCGGGUCGUUAAGUCGGGGGUGAAAUCCUGGAGCUCAACUCCAGAACUGCCUUCGAUACUGGCGAUCUUGAGUCCGGGAGAGGUGAGUGGAACUCCGAGUGUAGAGGUGAAAUUCGUAGAUAUUCGGAAGAACACCAGUGGCGAAGGCGGCUCACUGGCCCGGUACUGACGCUGAGGUGCGAAAGCGUGGGGAGCAAACAGG
rnacentral:rRNA from 1 species